rnacentral:misc_RNA from 1 species
GAAACGCGAUAGUUAAUGUGAAUUGCAGAAUUCAGUGAAUCAUCGAGUCUUUGAACGCACAUUGCGCCCAUUGGUAUUCCUUUGGGCAUGUCUGUUCGAGCGUCAUUUCAACCCUCAGAACCCCUUGCGGGAUCUGGCGUUGGGGAUUGGCAUCCAGCCAGCCCCGAAAUCUAGUGGCGGUCCCUCCGCGACCUCCCCUGUGCAGUAGCGAUACCUCGCAGCGGGACAGCGGUCUGACCACGCCGUAAAACCCCCAACUUCUCAAGGUUGACCUCGAAUCAGGUAGGAAUACCCGCUGAACUUAAGC